rnacentral:rRNA from 1 species
AGCGAACGCUGGCGGCAUGCUUAACACAUGCAAGUCGCACGGACGGGGUUUCGGCCUCGUUAGUGGCGGACGGGUGAGUAUCGCGUAGGGAUUUAUCGUUGGGUGGGGAGUAACCUUGGGAAACUGGGGCGUAAUACCGCAUGACGCCUGAGGGCCAAAGUUGUAAUGGCGCCUGACGAGAAGCCUGCGUCCGAUUAGGUAGUUGGUGGGUAAUGGCUGACCAGCCUGCGAUCGGUAGCNGGUCUGAGAGGAUGAUCAGCC